UACGGAGGGUGCAAGCGUUAUCCGGAUUUACUGGGUUUAAAGGGUGCGUAGGUGGGUUGGGAAGUCAGUGGUGAAAUACUUUCGCUUAACGAAGGAACUGCCAUUGAUACUAUCAAUCUUGAAUGUAGUGGAGGUAGGCGGAAUGCGUCAUGUAGCGGUGAAAUGCUUAGAUAUGACACAGAACACCGAUUGCGAAGGCAGCUCACUAAACUGUAACUGACGCUGAGGCACGAAAGCGUGGGGAGCAAACAGG
rnacentral:rRNA from 1 species